AUUGAACGCUGGCGGCAUGCCUUACACAUGCAAGUCGAACGGUAACAGGUCUUCGGAUGCUGACGAGUGGCGAACGGGUGAGUAAUACAUCGGAACGUGCCUAGUAGUGGGGGAUAACUACUCGAAAGAGUGGCUAAUACCGCAUGAGAUCUGCGGAUGAAAGCAGGGGAUCGUAAGACCUUGUGCUACUAGAGCGGCCGAUGGCAGAUCAGGUAGUUGGUGGGAUAAAAGCUUACCAAGCCGACGAUCUGUAGCUGGUCUGAGAGGACGAUCAGCCACACUGGGACUGAGACACGGCCCAGACUCCUACGGGAGGCAGCAGUGGGGAAUUUUGGACAAUGGGCGCAAGCCUGAUCCAGCAAUGCCGCGUGCAGGAUGAAGGCCUUCGGGUUGUAAACUGCUUUUGUACGGAACGAAAAGCCCUGGGUUAAUACCCUGGGGUCAUGACGGUACCGUAAGAAUAAGCACCGGCUAACUACGUGCCAGCAGCCGCGGUAACAC
rnacentral:rRNA from 1 species